rnacentral:rRNA from 1 species
CGCGAACGGCCCAUUAUAACAGCUAUAAUUUACUUGAAUUUGACAACCCUACUUGGAUACCGGUGGUAAUUCUAGCGCUAAUACAUGCACCAAAGCUCCGACCGCGAGGGAAGAGCGCAUUUAUUAGAACAAAACCACACGGCUUCGGCCGUCCAAUGUUGACUCAGAAAAACUAAGCUGAUCGCAUGGUCUUGCACCGGCGACGUUUCCUUCAAGUAUCUGCCUUAUCAACUUUCGAUGGUAGUGUAUCUGACUACCAUGGUGAUGACGGGUAACGGAGGAUAAGGGUUCGACUCCGGAGAAGGGGCCUGAGAAAUGGCCACUACGUCUAAGGAUGGCAGCAGGCGCGCAAAUUACCCACUCUCAGUACGAGGAGGUAGUGACGAGAAAUAACAAGACCGUUCUCACAAGAGGCCGGUCAUUGGAAUGGGUACAAUUUAAACCCUUUAACGAGUAUCUAUGAGAGGGCAAGUCUGGUGCCAGCAGCCGCGGUAAUUCCAGCU